rnacentral:rRNA from 1 species
UUAACAAAAACAUGUCUUUUUGCUUAUAUUUUAAAGUUUGAUCUGCCCAAUGAAAAAUUAAAUGGCCGCGAUAUUUUGAUCGUGCGAAGGUAGCAUAAUCAUUAGCUUUUUAAUUGAGAGCUGGAAUGAAUGAUUGGACGAGAAAUUAACUGUCUCAUUUUUAUUUUUUGAAUUUUAUUUUUGAGUUAAAAAGCUUAAAUGUUGGUGUGGGACGAGAAGACCCUAUAGAGUUUAAUAUUUUAUUAGUUAUUAAGAUUUUAGAUUUUAUUUUUCUUAUUUAAUAAAAAUAUUUAGUUGGGGUGACGGAAAAACUUAGUGAACUUUUUUUUUUGAAAUAUUAAUUAAUAUAUAUUUGACUUGAUUUAUUCAGUUAUAAGAUUAAAUUACCUUAGGGAUAACAGCGUUAUUUUUUUUGAGAGUUCUUAUCGAAAGAAAAGAUUGCGACCUCGAUGUUGGAUUAAAGUUAAAUUUUUGGUGUAGAAGCUAAAUUAUUUAGUCUGUUCGACUAUUAAAACUUUACAUGAUCUGAGUU